rnacentral:rRNA from 1 species
UCAUGGCUCGAGGACGAACGCUGGCGGCGUGCUUAACACAUGCAAGUCGAACGGAGUUAAGCGCUGAAUUGAAGGUAGCUUGCUACUGGAUUUCUUGCUUAACUAGUGGCGGACGGGUGAGUAACGCGUGAGUAACCUGCCUCUCAGUGGGGAAUAACGCCCUGAAAAAGAGCGCUAAUACCGCAUAAUAUAUUUUUGCCGCAUGACAGAGAUAUCAAAGAUUUAUCGCUGAGAGAUGGACUCGCGUCCGAUUAGCUAGUUGGCGGGGUAACGGCCCACCAAGGCGACGAUCGGUAGCCGGACUGAGAGGUUGAACGGCCACAUUGGGACUGAGACACGGCCCAGACUCCUACGGGAGGCAGCAGGUGGGGAUAUUGCGCCAAUGGGGGAAACCCUGACGCAGCAACGCCGCGUGGAGGAUGACGGUUUUCGGAUUGUAAACUCCUUUUAUAAGGGACGAACUAAGACGGUACCUUAUGAAUAAGCUCCGGCUAACUACGUGCCAGCCGCCGC